UGGUGCGUAUGCAGCCUUACCUCUACCUUGAGAAGGUAGAGCAGUUGUUUGCAAUAGACCCUCGACUCAAGUGAAGCAUAUAAAAAAUCAAGUAUGUAAAACAAAUUAUGUAGUGAAGAAUCCAUACUGAAACAAACAUAGAAGAUAACAGUACCAACAACAAAUAAUAUGAUAACCAAAGUCAAGGAGACAAUAAAAUCGAAGACUAAGAUAGUAGGAGAGUAAUAAAAACAAUACUGAUGAGGAAACUAGACCACACUCGACUACCUACUAACCUUCUAUUCUAAUCUUCCACCUUCAAAUCUUCCUAUCUCGGGUCAUAUCCUCAAUAAGCUACAUAUGUGCCAUGUCCUAUCUUAUUACCUCUCCCCUAUACUUCUUCGACCUAUCUCUACCUCUCCUCAUACCCACCAUAGCCAACGUUUGCACUUCAGAAACUAAGUUCUAGUUUCACUGACGUGGCUCUUUUCUUUGUAAAACAUAACGCAGAUCGCUAUAACAUCAGCAAAGAAAAAACUCAGAAUAACUUAAUGCUCAUAUUAUUUGGUACUUGUACAAUUUAAGGAUGUCUGGACUAAUGUUCAGAUUAUUAUGUACAAUAUAGAUAUCCAACAAUAUUUGAUACACUUUAAACCAAUAUUAGCAACAAUAUAUAUCACUCAACGCAGACUUGUAUCUGUACAACCAACUGCAUAUUCAGUUACCACAGGCUUGAAACCAGUACUACAGAACUCAAGCAAACUCCUAAAUUUUCAAUCAUCGCACAGCAAAUAAAUUGAUGUAUAUGUUUACACAAAUUAAUUAUAUAAACUGCGCAGCAAAGUAAUUGAAAAUAAAAAAAAAUAAAAGUCCAAAUUUUACUUUGGUCAACGGAGAAAUUUAGUGAAAGAGGAGAUUACCUGAGCAGGUUUUGAGAGUAGACAACUUGUAAAUCAAACAUAAGAUACCGAUGAAAUGAACAAGCUCAGACAAAACAAAGAAGUGAUUGUGAUCAUGGAUGAGUAAUCUGAGAGUAAUCAGU
rnacentral:lncRNA from 1 species